AAUUUGAGAUGAAGUAUGAACAUAAGUGUAUCGGUAAAAACCUAAUCUUUCUUGGGUUUGAUUGUUUAAUUCUUCUUUAUAUUCAUUUUUGAUUAGUUGAUAAAAUUGAAAAUUAUAUAAAAAAACAUUCAUUGAAUAUAUCCAUAGUUCCAUAAUCUUGAUUUUUUAAGUUACCCGUGUCUAAGAAGAUUCUGGGUCUGGACUGUCAAAGUAUUAACGUUUGCAAAAUCUCAACCCUUUUGUCACAUCAUAAGUUAAUUUUGCUAAAGGCUUGCAAUGUGGAUUUAUUGUUGCAGAUUAAAUCCAUUUUCUUUAAGUUGUGGCGUUGAUAUCUUUACCAAAAUUAUUUCCAAAUAGUCAAUUGUAGUCAUUCACUAAGAAAAGAAUUUAUCUGAACUUGUCACUAUCCAUGUCUUCUUUUACAUAUAAUUUUUGUGUUUUUUUAAUCUCAGAUUUGGCAAGCCCACAAAGAACUCUAAAAAAACUUGCAAUUUACUUUUGUUAAGCAGAAGACUCCACUUUUUGACUAACUCGACCUUCUAAAUUUUGUUGACGGUUCGAGUGAAGAUGCAAAGUUCUCAGAUGAUUUUGAUGUGGUUUAUGUCGGAAGUAGCUGCUCUCUUUUGGUUGCAGACAGAAGAAACCAGGCAAUUUGAGAUAUCCAACUCUGUGAAGAUGAUUGUGUCUACCACUACAAUGGGAAUCAACAUCUAGGGAUAGCAGUACUUGUUGCAACCGGGUUCUUUGGUUACAUGAUGGCCUUGCUACAACGUAGAGUUUGGGCUAUGUUUUCAUCCCCGAGUGUCCUGGAUUUGGGUAAUUCAAAUAUAUAGAGAUUUGGGUUAUAAGAUUUGUUGGAGAAUUCUAGCCAACUCUAGGUUGUUGAGAUGUUCUGUUCAAGUACUUGGUUGUUUGGAGUUGUCCUUUUUGUGUGGCUGUGUUGCUCUUGUAUGCUUAAUGGAGCAGAUGGCUAGAUUACAGACCCAACAAAAGGUAAUCCCUUGAAUUAGCUUUUGUUAAUUUAUAGGCCCUUAUCAUUUUCCAUGUUUUUCACCAAUUUAGUUGUAUUAGUAUGAUGGCAAUCUUGGCUGCAAUUCUUG